rnacentral:snRNA from 1 species
GUGCUCAUUUCGGCAGCACAUAUACUAAAAUUGGAACAAUACAAAGAUUAGCAUGGGCAUUGCGCAAGGAUGACACACAAAUUUGUGAAGUGUUCCAUAUUUUU